rnacentral:misc_RNA from 1 species
GUGAAUCAUCGAAUCUUUGAACGCAAAUUGCACUCUCGGUUAUUCCGGAGAGUAUGCCUUUUUGAGGUUCAGUUUAAAUAAAAAUCGGUGUUGUCGCUGCCUUUCGUGGUGAGGCACCGGAUUUGGGUCGUCUGGCCGUCGGUUAUGUGACCUAAGAUUUGUCAUGAUUUUUUCGAACGGAGUUAAAUGAUGUUACGUACGUUUGCGAUAUCGAAUACUAGGUUCGGCCUUCCUCCUGAUCGGCGCCUAUAAUUUCU